rnacentral:sRNA from 1 species
AUAUCUCUUUGUACGGGAAGGAUGAGAAGCUUCGACUAAGGUUCGACUCGAGCGAAAGCGAGAGAACGUUGCCAACGGCAACGGCCCGAAGGGCGAAGCGCGCGGCGCUGAGUAAUCCUUCCCCCACCACCA